rnacentral:rRNA from 1 species
AUACGGAGGGUCCGAGCGUUAUCCGGAAUCAUUUGGUUUAAAGGGUUCGUAGGCGGGUCAAUAAGUCAGAGGUGAAAUCUUGCAGCUUAACUGUAAAAUUGCCUUUGAUACUGUUGACCUUGAAUUACUGUGAAGUGGUUAGAAUAUGUAGUGUAGCGGUGAAAUGCUUAGAGAUUACAUAGAAUACCGAUUGCGAAGGCAGAUCACUAACAGUAUAUUGACGCUGAUGAACGAAAGCGUGGGUAGCGAACGGGAUUAGAAACCCGUGUAGUCC